rnacentral:tRNA from 1 species
GGCGAUGUAGCCAAGUGGAUCAAGGCAGUGGAUUGGAAUCCACCAUGCGCGGGUUUAAUUCCCGUCGUUCGCCC